rnacentral:lncRNA from 1 species
GGGUGCAUGGAAGGUAAGUUGUCUGCUCAGUGAUUGUACACAUUAGACUAUUCGGUGUUAAGUCCUAUUUCAAGCUACUUCCUUAUUUUUCGUGCAUUAUCUAUUUACAUUUCUGCUUUGUUUGAUCAGGUAAGAUGUACUGACGACCGUGGAGGAUUUGCAUAUAGGAAAGUCUUGCUUAGCUAGGCUAUUCUAUGUUUUUGGAGGAAUGGAAGUAACCAAUUAGCUUAUUAAGGGAUAAGGGAAGAAUUAUUAUAAGAUAUUCCAAUUUUUUAUGGAGAAGUCCAUGCCACAAGGGAUGCAGACCCAUUGAAUCAGACUAUCAAUCAAACCAAAAAUCAAUACAAUUUUACCGUUCUCGCUUUUCUCUCGGUCCUAACUAUUCCAACCACGAUUCGUUGUUCAUACGUGUCUUUAUGGUGUUUGCCAUGGCUUGCACACCGCUCUACUUGCACUUCACUCUGAUGAUAGAGUUCCUGCCAAUAUUCUUCGAUGUUUCAAUCCCC